GAGACUAUGGUGUAGUGGUAGCACGAGAGGUUGUGGCCCUCUCGGCAGGGGUUCAAUUCCCCUUAGUCUCCCA
rnacentral:tRNA from 1 species